UACGGAGGGGGCUAGCGUUGUUCGGAAUUACUGGGCGUAAAGCGCACGUAGGCGGACGAGAAAGUCAGGGGUGAAAUCCCGGGGCUCAACCCCGGAACUGCCUUUGAAACUCCUUGUCUUGAGGUCGUGAGAGGUGAGUGGAAUUCCGAGUGUAGAGGUGAAAUUCGUAGAUAUUCGGAGGAACACCAGUGGCGAAGGCGGCUCACUGGCACGAUACUGACGCUGAGGUGCGAAAGCGUGGGGAGCAAACAGG
rnacentral:rRNA from 1 species